rnacentral:rRNA from 1 species
GACGAACGCUGGCGGCGUGCCUAAUACAUGCAAGUCGAGCGGACGAAUCGAAAGCUUGCUUUUGAUUCGUUAGCGGCGGACGGGUGAGUAACACGUGGGCAACCUGCCCUGUAGACGGGGAUAACACCGAGAAAUCGGUGCUAAUACCGGAUAACACGAAAUGUCGCAUGACGUUUCGUUGAAAGACGGCGCAAGCUGUCGCUACAGGAUGGGCCCGCGGCGCAUUAGCUAGUUGGUGAGGUAACGGCUCACCAAGGCGACGAUGCGUAGCCGACCUGAGAGGGUGAUCGGCCACACUGGGACUGAGACACGGCCCAGACUCCUACGGGAGGCAGCAGUAGGGAAUCUUCCGCAAUGGACGAAAGUCUGACGGAGCAACGCCGCGUGAGCGAAGAAGGCCUUCGGGUCGUAAAGCUCUGUUGUUAGGGAAGAACAAGUAACGCAGUAACUGGCGUUACCGUGACGGUACCUAACGAGAGAGCCACGGCUAACUACGU